rfam:Cavia porcellus supercont2_219 genomic scaffold, whole genome shotgun sequence.
GGGGAUUUAGCUCAGUGGCAUAAGCAACUGCCUUGGAAGCAGACAGUCAUGGGCUUGAUCCCCA